rnacentral:rRNA from 1 species
UACGUAGGGGGCAAGCGUUGUCCGGAUUUAUUGGGCGUAAAGAGCGUGUAGGCGGCCAGAUAGGUCUGUUGUGAAAACUCGAGGCUCAACCUCGAGACGCCGAUGGAAACCAUUUGGCUAGAGUCCGGAAGAGGAGGGUGGAAUUCCUGGUGUAGCGGUGAAAUGCGCAGAUAUCAGGAGGAACACCAAUGGCGAAGGCAGCUCGCUGGGACGGUACUGACGCUGAGACGCGAAAGCGUGGGGAGCAAACAGG